rnacentral:rRNA from 1 species
UCCGUAGGUGAACCUGCGGAAGGAUCAUUACAGAAAGUAAACGCGGAUCAAACCGCGAACUUCUAAACCUUUGACGAUUGACUCAUGUUGCCUCGGCGGGUUCUCUCGCCAGAGGAUACAUCAAAACUCCUGUUUUAACGGUGUUGUCUGAGCUACAAGCAACGAAUCAAAACUUUCAACAACGGAUCUCUUGGUUCUGGCAUCGAUGAAGAACGCAGCGAAAUGCGAUAAGUAGUGUGAAUUGCAGAAUUCAGUGAAUCAUCGAAUCUUUGAACGCACAUUGCGCCCCUUGGUAUCCCGAGGGGCAUGCCUGUUCGAGCGUCAUUUCACCACUCAAGCCUGGCUUGGUGUUGGGCGACGUCCCCUUUGGGGACGCGUCUCGAAACGCUCGGCGGCGUGGCACCGGCUUUAAGCGUAGCAGAAUCUUUCGCUUUGAAGGUCGGGGCCCCGUCUGCCGGAAGACCUACUCGCAAGGUUGACCUCGGAUCAGGCAGGGAUACCCGCUGAACUUAAGCAUAUCAAUAAGCGGAGGAA